GAUCAUGGCUCAGGAUGAACGCUAGCUACAGGCUUAACACAUGCAAGUCGAGGGGCAUCAGGAAGAGAGCUUGCUUUCUUUGCUGGCGACCGGCGCACGGGUGAGUAACACGUAUCCAACCUGCCCUUUACUCGGGGAUAGCCUUUCGAAAGAAAGAUUAAUACCCGAUAGUAUAAUGAUUCCGCAUGGUUUCAUUAUUAAAGGAUUCCGGUAAAGGAUGGGGAUGCGUUCCAUUAGGUUGUUGGUGAGG
rnacentral:rRNA from 1 species